rnacentral:rRNA from 1 species
CAGUCGCCGCGGUAAUACAGAGGUCCCGAGCGUUGUUCGGAUUCACUGGGCGUAAAGGGUGUGUAGGAGGCUUGGUAAGUCAGGUGUGAAAUCCCGCAGCUCAACUGCGGAACUGCAUUCGAUACUGCCGAGCUAGAGGAUCGGAGGGGGAAGCGGAAUUCUUGGUGUAGCGGUGAAAUGCGUAGAUAGCAGGAGGAACACCUGCGGCGAAAGCGGCUCACUGGACCAUAACUGACGCUGAGGCACGAAAGCUAGGGGAGCAAACAGGAUUAGAUACCCCUGUAGUCCCUGUCUCUUAUAC